GGUGUGUGGCCUAAUUGAAAAGGCAUGAGAUUUAGGGUCAGAGGACCUGGGUUCUAAUCCCAGCAUCAUCA
rnacentral:tRNA from 1 species